rnacentral:rRNA from 1 species
GAUGAACGCUGGCGGCGUGCCUAAUACAUGCAAGUCGAGCGAACAGACGAGGAGCUUGCUCCUCUGACGUUAGCGGCGGACGGGAGAGACACACGUGGAUAACCUACCUAUAAGUCUGGGAUAACUUCGGGAAACCGGCGCUAAUACCGGAUACUAUAUUGAACCGCAUGGUUCAAUAGUGAAAGACGGUUUUGCUGUCACUUAUAGAUGGAUCCGCGCCGCAUUAGCUAGUUGGUAAGGUAACGGCUUACCAAGGCAACGAUGCGUAGCCGACCUGAGAGGGUGAUCGGCCACACUGGAACUGAGACACGGUCCAGACUCCUACGGGAGGCAGCAGUAGGGAAGCUUCCGCAAUGGGCGAAAGCCUGACGGAGCAACGCCGCGUGAGUGGUGAAGGUCUUCGGAUCGUAAAACUCUGUUAUUAGGGAAGAACAAAUGUGUAAGUAACUAUGCACGUCUUGACGGUACCUAAUCAGAAAGCCACGGCUAACUACGUG